GCGUAGUUUCUCGUAAGCUAGAGUCGGGAGGCAUGUUAUUGAGAUAUGGUGAUAUGGUGGUGUUAGUCAUGAGAGACGAGUAAAUAGUUGGUGUUCUUAACCGCGUUUUUGACGGCGUUAAAUGCGAAAUCUAGCAUUCCAAUACAAGCUACCUACGCAGAUUCUUCAUCCCCGACUGCAGUGAUGUUUUCCAAUUUCGAUUGGCGGGUGUGGCUGCAUGAGAUGCUGCUGUGGGCCGGGCAAAACCCUUGGCAGUUUGUCUACUAUGUGAUUCUUUGUCUUUCGCCAUUCUUUGCCAUCAGUGCAGUGUUGUCGUGGCAGCUGGCGAAACACAUCGAUGCUCAGGAAAAGGACAAGAAGCGUAGGUCAAAAAGAAAUGCCAACAUAGCAAAGACAAGACGCCAUAAGCAGGAGUGAGUGACAAGAUCGAUUACUCGAUCGUAUUCUUACAGACACCGUGCAGCGACUAUGAAUUCAGCAUAUGCUGGUGCCGUUGACCCGCACAUACAAGGUCAAUAGCACUGAAAUCAGCAGCUCCUGAUCAUUUAACUAGCAAAGGAUGGUGUGAAGUGACCGUGAAUUCAGUGCUGGUACUGUUGACUAGCAGGAGGUGACAAGUGGAUUCAUUGGUUGCCAGUACCUUUCCCAGGUGGCUGAUGUGAGUGCAGGCGACGUCAGCAGCAGGUGUGAUGAUGGUGAAACGCACUCAAAUCCUCCUGCCAUACCCUCCAUUGCAUCGCUGUUGGAAGACAUGCUGCAAUGCUAAUGGAAUGUUUGUGCGAUAUCAUAACUUACAGCAAUCAAACCAGCUCUGGCAUUUUAUAAUCAUGCUAUUUACUGUUCGAUUGUGCAAGGCGAAUAAAUCUGCCUUGGUCGAUCUAUAAUAAAUGUGUGAUAAUAUUGUGAUUUUUACCCAAGAUAAUUUGAGUGCUAUUAAAGUUUUUUAAGUUAA